rnacentral:rRNA from 1 species
CGGUCUUGCUGUCACUUAUAGAUGGAUCCGCGCUGCAUUAGCUAGUUGGUAAGGUAACGGCUUACCAAGGCAACGAUGCAUAGCCGACCUGAGAGGGUGAUCGGCCACACUGGAACUGAGACACGGUCCAGACUCCUACGGGAGGCAGCAGUAGGGAAUCUUCCGCAAUGGGCGAAAGCCUGACGGAGCAACGCCGCGUGAGUGAUGAAGGUCUUCGGAUCGUAAAACUCUGUUAUUAGGGAAGAACAUAUGUGUAAGUAACUGUGCACAUCUUGACGGUACCUAAUCAGAAAGCCACGGCUAACUACGUGCCAGCAGCCGCGGUAAUACGUAGGUGGCAAGCGUUAUCCGGAAUUAUUGGGCGUAAAGCGCGCGUAGGCGGUUUUUUAAGUCUGAUGUGAAAGCCCACGGCUCAACCGUGGAGGGUCAUUGGAAACUGGAAAACUUGAGUGCAGAAGAGGAAAGUGGAAUUCCAUGUGUAGCGGUGAAAUGCGCAGAGAUAUGGAGGAACACCAGUGGCGAAGGCGACUUUCUGGUCUGUAACUGACGCUGAUGUGCGAAAGCGUGGGGAUCAAACAGGAUUAGAUACCCUGGUAGUCCACGCCGUAAACGAUGAGUGCUAAGUGUUAGGGGGUUUCCGCCCCUUAGUGCUGCAGCUAACGCAUUAAGCACUCCGCCUGGGGAGUACGACCGCAAGGUUGAAACUCAAAGGAAUUGACGGGGACCCGCACAAGCGGUGGAGCAUGUGGUUUAAU